GGGGUGUUAGUUAAACGGAUAUAACAUACCGCUACGGACGGUACAUUAUGGGUUCGAUUCCUAUACGCCCUGCCA
rnacentral:tRNA from 1 species